rnacentral:tRNA from 5 species
GGCUCAAUGGUCUAGAGGUAUGAUUGCUGUUUCGGGUAUAGCAGGUCCCGGGUUCAAAUCCCGGUUGAGCCC